ACAGCUUCUGGGCCUUUUGGCUAAGAUCAAGUCGAGUAUCUGUUAUCAGUUGAACAUCUGAUACUGAAGCGGUGUUGUCAUCUCACACCGAGGAAAUCAAA
rfam:Gorilla gorilla gorilla genomic chromosome, chr6, whole genome shotgun sequence